GCCAGGUGUAGUGGUGGGCGCCUGUAAUCCCAGCUACUUGGGAGGCUGAGGCAGGAGAAUCGCUUGAACCCAGGAGGCGGAGGUUGCAGUGAGCCAAGAUCACGCCAUUGCACUCCAACCUGGGCAACAAAGCGAGACUCUGUCUCAA
rnacentral:SRP_RNA from 1 species